UGGGGAAUUUUGGACAAUGGGGGAAACCCUGAUCCAGCCAUCCCGCGUGUGCGAUGAAGGCCUUCGGGUUGUAAAGCACUUUUGGCAGGAAAGAAACGUCGCGGGUUAAUACCCCGCGGAACUGACGGUACCUGCAGAAUAAGCACCGGCUAACUACGUGCCAGCAGCCGCGGUAAUACGUAGGGUGCAAGCGUUAAUCGGAAUUACUGGGCGUAAAGCGUGCGCAGGCGGUUCGGAAAGAAAGAUGUGAAAUCCCAGAGCUUAACUUUGGAACUGCAUUUUUUAACUACCGGGCUAGAGUGUGUCAGAGGGAGGUGGAAUUCCGCGUGUAGCAGUGAAAUGCGUAGAUAUGCGGAGGAACACCGAUGGCGAAGGCAGCCUCCUGGGAUAACACUGACGCUCAUGCACGAAAGCGUGGGGAGCAAACAGGAUUAGAUACCCUGGUAGUCCACGCCCUAAANGAUGUCAACUAGUUGUUGGGGAUUCAUUUCCUUAGUAACGUAGCUAACGCGUGAAGUUGACCGCCUGGGGAGUACGGUCGCAAGAUU
rnacentral:rRNA from 1 species